AGGAGGACCAUGAGCUGUUGCUGUAGAUAAGGUGUCUGAUUCCAGGAGGACCAUGAGCUGUUGCUGUAGAUAAGGUGUCUGAUUCCAGGAGGACCAUGAGCUGUUCCUGUAGAUAAGGUGUCUGAUUCCAGGAGGACCAUGAGCUGUUCCUGUAGAUAAGGUGUCUGAUUCCAGGAGGACCAUGAGCUGUUCCUGUAGAUAAGGUGUCUGAUUCCUGGAGGACCAUGAGCUGUUGCUGUCGAUAAGGUGUCUGAUUCCAGGAGGACCAUGAGCUGUUGCUGUAGAUAAGGUGUCUGAUUCCAGGAGGACCAUGAGCUGUUCCUGUAGAUAAGGUGUCUGAUUCCAGGAGGACCAUGAGCUGUUCCUGUAGAUAAGGUGUCUGAUUCCAGGAGGACCAUGAGCUGUUCCUGUAGAUAAGGUGUCUGAUUCCAGGAGGACCAUGAGCUGUUCCUGUAGAUAAGGUGUCUGAUUCCAGGAGGACCAUGAGCUGUUGCUGUAGAUAAGGUGUCUGAUUCCAGGAGGACCAUGAGCUGUUCCUGUAGAUAAGGUGUCUGAUUCCAGGAGGACCAUGAGCUGUUCCUGUAGAUAAGGUGUCUGAUUCCAGGAGGACCAUGAGCUGUUGCUGUAGAUAAGGUGUCUGAUUCCAGGAGGACCAUGAGCUGUUCCUGUAGAUAAGGUGUCUGAUUCCAGGAGGACCAUGAGCUGUUGCUGUAGAUAAGGUGUCUGAUUCCAGGAGGACCAUGAGCUGUUCCUGUAGAUAAGGUGUCUGAUUCCAGGAGGACCAUGAGCUGUUCCUGUAGAUAAGGUGUCUGAUUCCAGGAGGACCAUGAGCUGUUCCUGUAGAUAAGGUGUCUGAUUCCAGGAGGACCAUGAGCUGUUCCUGUAGAUAAGGUGUCUGAUUCCAGGAGGACCAUGAGCUGUUCCUGUAGAUAAGGUGUCUGAUUCCAGGAGGACCAUGAGCUGUUCCUGUAGAUAAGGUGUCUGAUUCCAGGAGGACCAUGAGCUGUUGCUGUAGAUAAGGUGUCUGAUUCCAGGAGGACCAUGAGCUGUUCCUGUAGAUAAGGUGUCUGAUUCCAGGAGGACCAUGAGCUGUUCCUGUAGAUAAGGUGUCUGAUUCCAGGAGGACCAUGAGCUGUUCCUGUAGAUAAGGUGUCUGAUUCCAGGAGGACCAUGAGCUGUUGCUGUCGAUAAGGUGUCUGAUUCCAGGAGGACCAUGAGCUGUUGCUGUAGAUAAGGUGUCUGAUUCCAGGAGGACCAUGAGCUGUUGCUGUAGAUAAGGUGUCUGAUUCAUCAUUUUCACCUCGAAUAGAUGUAGAGGGACAUUUGUCAGAGGUAGCUUGUUGUGAACGCUGAGGGAACUUUAUGCACUUGGCCAGAUGAUUCUGCAUCUUUGUUGCAUUAUUCACAUAUGAUUUGGCACAGUAUUCGCAAAUGUACACAGCUUUUCCUUCUACAUUAGCUGCAGUGAAAUUUCUCCACACAUCAGAUAGUGCCCGUGGCAUUUUCCUGUAAAGAUUAGAAAAAAAGAGAGAAAAAAAUAAAAUUCCAUGUACAGAUAAAUAGUUAAGCAGUUAGAUUAAACAAUUCCUUUGUAAGAUAUAUAUUUUUAAAUGAAACAUGUAUGGCAACAGGUGAAUUAACACUCCUCCGUUAGCAGGCUCAAGCAAGCUAAAACCAGACAUGGUAGCAAAAACUAACCAGCAGAAAUGGUUAAGUUAGAAAUGAUUUAAACACACUUGGCUGUAGGCUACAAUUUACUAGUUAACAAAAAAUCAUGUGUCAUAUAAAAUAUAUUCACCCCACCCAGUACUGUAUUCAAAACUUACCAGAAAGCAUAUAAAAUGGAUUAAAAUUCAAAUAAAUCUCUGCAAUCUGCACACAAUAAUGACAAACCAAAAACAGGAUUAAUACCUUAUUUAUAUAAGUAUUCAGCCCCAUUGCUAUGAGACUCGAAAUUGAGCUCAAGUGCUUCAUGAUUUCAUUGAUCAUCCUUGAAAUGUUUCUACAACUUGAUUCAAGUCCAACUAUGGUAAAUUAUAUUGAUUGGACAUGAGUUGGAAAGGGCACACACCUGUCUAUAUAAGGUCCCACAGUUGACAGUGCAUGUCAGAACAAAAACCAAGCCAUGAGGUGGAAGGAAUUGUCCGUAGAGUGCCGAGACAGGAUUGAGUCGAGGCACAGAUCUGGGGAAGGUACUAAAAAAUGUCUGCAGCAUUGAAGGUCAGCAAGAACACAGUGGCCUCCAUCAUUCUUAAAUGGAAGAAGUUUGGAACCACCAAGACUCUUCCUAGAGCUGGCCGCCCGGCCAAACUGAGCAAUCAGGGGAUAAGGGCCUUCGUCGUGGUUCGUCGUGGAGGUGAACAGUGCAAAGUUCAGAGAGAUCCUUGAUGAAAACCUGCUCCAGAGUGCUCAGGACCUCAGACUAGGGCGAAGGACAACAACCCUAAGCACACAGACAAGACAAUGCAGGAGUGGCUGUGGGACAAGUCUCUGAAUGUCCUUGAGUGGGCCAACCAGAGCCCAGACUUAAACCCGAUCUAAUAUCUCUGGAGAGACUUGAAAAUAACUGUGCAGCAACACUCCCCCCAUCCAACCUGACAGAGUUUGGGUGGAUCUGCAGAGAAGAAUGGGAGAAACUCCCCAAAUACAGGUCUCCCAAAUACAGGUGUGUCAACCUGUAUUGGCACGACAAUGAUUUAAUCAAUUUUAGAACAAGGCUGUAACCUACCAAAAUGUAGAAAAGGUCAUGGGAUAUGAAUACUUCCUGAAGGCACUGUACAUUCUUUCCUACGGUAAAUGGCAGCGCGAGGCGUCAACAAGAUCUUAAUAAGAUACUUUAUCCCACUCAGAACUGAUUAGCAUCAACCCGAACUCUUUCAACUGGAUAGUAACAGUCCAAGGUCCAUUCCUGUAAAGAACCCUGACCUGCAGUGGGCCAAGACACUACACUACAUUCAUCAUUUGACAGUAAAUCAGGAAGUCUUCAACAGCCUAAACUAUUAAAUGAAAUCUCACUAGAACUGAUUAGAGUAUGACUGGAAGAUAGUGUAUAUUCAAUAAACUAGUUCUAGAGAUGGGGAUCUGAGGCAGACCUAUCUAUACCCUGACAAGCCACUAUUAUACUUUUAAUAAAACCAUAAUCUGCAGCAGCCAGUCAAGCGAAGUGAUCUGUGCGGGCUCGGGGGCAUUCAGCGGGGACAGAUGUAGAUUUGAUUUGCAUGACCAAGCGUGCCACAAAUAAGAGGGGGAAAAAACAUGGAGCAAACGGGGCAAGCGCAAUAUGAUCUCCGUUCUGUCAUAUUGCAAUAGCUUAUGCAACGAAAUUAUUAUUUUUUUAAAUCAAGGUUUGACGACUAAAUACAUCUAAAACAUAUGAAAAGAUAAACAAAUUACGUUCUGAAGGAUGUGAAACUAUUCAUAUUCGAAAUUUCCCAGCACUAGGCCAACUGCAUGGGUCGGUUUUAGUGAGCAGCAGAAAUUUGUCCUCGAGGUUGA